rnacentral:rRNA from 1 species
GUGCAGCAGGCGCGAAUACUCCGCAAUGCGGGCAACCGCGACGGGGCUACCCCGAGUGCCGGGCGAAGAGCCCGGCUUUUGCCUGGUCUAAAACGCCGGGCGAAUAAGCGGGGGGCAAGUCUGGUGUCAGCCGCCGCGGUAAUACCAGCCCCACGAGUGGUCGGGACGGUUAUUGGGCCUAAAGCGCCCGUAGCCGGCCCAGCAAGUUCCUGCCUAAAUCCUCGGGCUCAACCCGGGGAAAGGUGGGAAUACUACUGGGCUAGGAGGCGGGAGAGGCCGGGGGUACUGCCAGGGUAGGGGCGAAAUCCUAUAAUCCUGGCAGGACCACCAGUGGCGAAGGCGCCCGGCUGGAACGCGCUCGACGGUGAGGGGCGAAAGCUGGGGGAGCAAACCGGAUUAGAUACCCGGGUAGUCCCAGCUGUAAACGAUGCGGACUAGGUGUUGGACGGACUUUGAGUCCGUCCAGUGCCGCAGGGAAGCCGUUAAGUCCGCCGCCUGGGGAGUACGGCCGCAAGGCUGAAACUUAAAGGAAUUGGCGGGGGAGCAC